UACGUAGGUGGCAAGCGUUGUCCGGAUUUACUGGGCGUAAAGAGCGCGCAGGCGGUCGUCCAAGUCGCGUGUGAAAGCCCCCGGCUCAACUGGGGAGGGUCACGCGAUACUGGUCGACUCGAAGGCAGGAGAGGGUAGUGGAAUUCCCGGUGUAGUGGUGAAAUUCGUAGAUAUCGGGAGGAACACCGGUGGCGAAGGCGGCGACCUGGGUCGAGACUGACGCUGAGGCGCGAAAGCGUGGGGAGCAAACAGG
rnacentral:rRNA from 1 species